rnacentral:rRNA from 1 species
GACGAACGCUGGCGGCGUGCUUAACACAUGCAAGUCGAACGGAAAGGCCCUGCUUUUGUGGGGUGCUCGAGUGGCGAACGGGUGAGUAACACGUGAGUAACCUGCCCUUGACUUUGGGAUAACUUCAGGAAACUGGGGCUAAUACCGGAUAGGAGCUCCUGCUGCAUGGUGGGGGUUGGAAAGUUUCGGCGGUUGGGGAUGGACUCGCGGCUUAUCAGCUUGUUGGUGGGGUAGUGGCUUACCAAGGCUUUGACGGGUAGCCGGCCGGAGAGGGUGACCGGCCACAUUGGGCCUGAGUUACGGCCCAGACUCCUCCGGGAGGCAGCAGUGGGGAAUAUUGCACAAUGGGCGGAAGCCUGAUGCAGCAACGCCGCGUGCGGGAUGACGGCCUUCGGGUUGUAAACCGCUUUCGCCUGUGACGAAGCGUGAGUGACGGUAAUGGGUAAAGAAGCACCGGCUAACUACGUG